GACGUAGGGCGCGAGCGUUGUCCGGAUUUAUUGGGCGUAAAGAGCUCGUAGGCGGCUCGUUGCGUCAACCGUGAAAACCCGGGGCUUAACUUCGGGCUUGCUGGUUGAUACGGGCGGGCUGGAGUUCGGUAGGGGAGACUGGAAUUCCUGGUGUAGGCGGUGGAAAAUGCGCAGAUAUCAGGAGGAACACCAGUAGCGAAGGCGGCGACUCUGGGCUGGUAACUGACGCUCGAGG
rnacentral:rRNA from 1 species